CGACCGAGCCAUUUCCCAGGGUCCAGCAGAUCGUAGCUGGGGUGAACUACUUCUUGGACGUGGAGCUGGGCCGAACCACGUGUACCAAGACCCAGCCCAACUUGGACAACUGCCCCUUCCAUGACCAGCCACAUCUGAAAAGGAAAGCAUUCUGCUCUUUCCAGAUCUACGCUGUGCCUUGGCAGGGCACAAUGACCUUGUCGAAAUCCACCUGUCAGGAUGCCUAGGGGUCUGUACCGGGCUGGCCUGUGCCUAUCACCUCUUACGCACACCUCCCACCGCCUGUAUUCCCACCCCUGGACUGGUGGCCCCAGCCUUGGGGAAGGUCUCCCCAUGUGCCUGCACCAGGAGACAGACAGAGAAGGCAGCAGGCGGCCUUUGUUGCUCAGCAAGGGGCUCUGCCCUCCCUCCUUCCUUCUUGCUUCUCAUAGCCCCGGUGUGCGGUGCAUACACCCCCACCUCCUGCAAUAAAACAGUAGCAUCGGCUCCC
rnacentral:lncRNA from 1 species